rnacentral:rRNA from 1 species
CCUACGGGUGGCAGCAGUGGGGAAUAUUGCACAAUGGGGGAAACCCUGAUGCAGCGACGCCGCGUGAGUGAAGAAGUAUUUCGGUACGUAAAGCUCUAUCAGCAGGGAAGAAAAUGACGGUACCUGACUAAGAAGCCCCGGCUAACUACGUGCCAGCAGCCGCGGUAAUACGUAGGGGGCAAGCGUUAUCCGGAUUUACUGGGGGUAAAGGGAGCGGAGACGGCAGCGCAAGUCUGGAGUGAAAUCCCAUGGCUUAACCAUGGAACUGCUUUGGAAACUGUGCAGCUAGAGUGCAGGAGAGGUAAGCGGGAUUCCUAGUGUAGCGGGGAAAUGCGUAGAUAUUAGGAGGAACACCAGUGGCGGAGGCGGCUUACUGGACUGUAACUGACGUUGAGGCUCGAAAGCGUGGGGAGCAAACAGGAUUAGAUACCCUAGUAGUC